rnacentral:rRNA from 1 species
GACGAACGCUGGCGGCGUGCCUAAUACAUGCAAGUCGAACGCAGUGGGGACGGGUGAGUAACACGUGGGUAACCUCCCAUCAGAGGGGAUAACACUUGGAAACAGGUGCUAAACCGAUACUGAUGGAUGGACCCGCGGUGCAUUAGCUAGUAGGUGAGGUAACGGCUCACCAAGGCCACGAUGCAUAGCCGGCCUGAGAGGGUGGUCAGCCACACUGGGACUGAGACACGGCCCAGACUCCUACGGGAGGCAGCAGUGGGGAAUCUUCCGCAAGGGGCGAAAGUCUGACCCAGCCACGCCGCGUGAGUGAAGAAGGUCUUCGGAUUGUAAAGCACUGUUGUUAGGGAAGCGUUAUCUAACGAGAAAGCCACGGCUAACUACGUGCCAGCAGCCGCGGUAAUAC